GAUGAACGCUAGCUACAGGCUUAACACAUGCAAGUCGAGGGGCAGCACAGUGUAGCAAUACAUGGGUGGCGACCGGCGCACGGGUGCGUAACGCGUAUCCAACCUUCCCGUUACUCAGGGAUAGCCUUCCGAAAGGGAGAUUAAUACCUGAUGGUGUUCAAAUUCCGCAUGUUAUUUGAACUAAAGAUUUAUCGGUAACGGAUGGGGAUGCGUGACAUUAGGUAGAUGGCGGGGUAACGGCCCACCAUGCCCACGAUGUCUAGGGGUUCUGAGAGGAAGGUCCCCCCACACUGGAACUGAGACACGGUCCAGACUCCUACGGGAGGCAGCAGUGAGGAAUAUUGGUCAAUGGUCUGACGACUGAACCAGCCAUGCCGCGUGAAGGUGACGGCCCUAUGGGUUGUAAACUUCUUUUAUUUGAGAGUAAAAGAUUCUACGUGUAGAAUUUUGCUAAGUAUCAAAAGAAUAAGCAUCGGCUAAUUCCGUGCCAGCAGCCG
rnacentral:rRNA from 1 species